CUUGGAGACGGAGUUCAGCGGGAACUCGGCUCCCUGUUAGCGAUCUGCGCAUGCGCAAUGUGCUUUCCUGCCCAAUCCCACCAAACUAUCGCUUAUUGAUUCUUCCUAGCAGCCUUAUCUUUACUGACAUAACCGAGCUUAUGAUGUGAAGUUCAGCUGUGUGGGACUCCAGAGAGAGGAAACGGGACUGACUGUGAAAUCCUAUUCCAAUGUGCGUCCAUCCAAGAAUGGAGGCUCUUUGAAGACCAGGACCACAUUAGGCUUGGCUCGCCCUGUAUCCCAACACCAGCAUGGUGUCUGGCACAUCAUAGCAGUGAAUCAGCUAGCAGAAACCACUCCCCUCUUUGAAGGAUCCCUGUAGAUACUGCCGGGGAUGUAGUACAGCCUUGGGUUCAGCAGUCUUGGAGAGCAGGUCUCUAUCCAGUUCAGUUUAUCUUCGCUCCUUGCCCCUAUUGGAUCUUCCAGAGGCUGUGCCCACCUCCAGCUUUCCCAGCACCUCCUGUCAGUCCCAUGAUGCUCUGUGGUAAACAAGCCUGAUGCUUCCUUGACAACUGUCACUUGGUCUAUGAGCUUUUAUCACCCUAUCAUCCCAAGAGGGCAUGCUCUUAAUUUCUCUUGGUUUAGGCUCAUCCUGAGCAGAAGCAGGCCAAUUCCCAGAAAAUCAAUCCAAUGGGAGCCAGUGUGUGAAUGACUGCUUCUCUGAAUGGCGAGCGGAC